rnacentral:rRNA from 1 species
UGGCGAACGGGUGAGUAAUACGUGGGUGAUCUGCCCUGCACUCUGGGAUAAGCCUGGGAAACUGGGUCUAAUACCGGAUAGGACCAUGCUUUAGUGUGUGUGGUGGAAAGUUUUUUCGGUGUAGGAUGAGCCCGCGGCCUAUCAGCUUGUUGGUGGGGUAAUGGCCUACCAAGGCGGCGACGGGUAGCCGGACUGAGAGGUUGGUCGGCCACAUUGGGACUGAGAUACGGCCCAG